AGUGAACGCUGGCGGUAGGCCUAACACAUGCAAGUCGAACGGCAGCACAGGAGAGCUUGCUCUCUGGGUGGCGAGUGGCGGACGGGUGAGGAAUACAUCGGAAUCUACUUUUUCGUGGGGGAUAACGUAGGGAAACUUACGCUAAUACCGCAUACGACCUACGGGUGAAAGCAGGGGACCUUCGGGCCUUGCGCGAUUGAUUGAGCCGAUGUCGGAUUAGCUAGUUGGCGGGGUAAAGGCCCACCAAGGCGACGAUCCGUAGCUGGUCUGGGAGGAUGAUCAGCCACACUGGAACUGAGACACGGUCCAGACUCCUACGGGAGGCAGCAGUGGGGAAUAUUGGACAAUGGGCGCAAGCCUGAUCCAGCCAUACCGCGUGGGUGAAGAAGGCCUUCGGGUUGUAAAGCCCUUUUGUUGGGAAAGAAAUCCAGCUGGCUAAUACCCGGUUGGGAUGACGGUACCCAAAGAAUAAGCACCGGCUAACUUCGUGCCAGCCGCCGCGGUAA
rnacentral:rRNA from 1 species